rnacentral:guide_RNA from 1 species
AUACACAAUCAACGAUAGAAGACUAUCAGAUAGUAGAUAUGUAAAU